UCCGGUAUGGUGUAGCGGCUAACAUUACCGCUUUUCAGCGCAGGAUAAACGCGAAGUUUAACUAAUAACACUGACGCGGUAGCCCGGGGUUCGAUUCCCCGUACCGGAA